GAUGAACGCUGGCGGCGUGCCUAAUACAUGCAAGUCGAGCGAACGGACGAGAAGCUUGCUUCUCUGAUGUUAGCGGCGGACGGGUUAGUAACACGUGGAUAACCUACCUAUAAGACUGGGAUAACUUCGUGAAACCGUAGCUAAUACCGGAUAAUAUUUUGAACCGCAUGGUUCAAAAGUGAAAGACGGUCUUGCUGUCACUUAUAGAUUGAUCCGCGCUGCAUUAGCUAGUUGGUAAGGUAACGGCUUACCAAGGCAACGAUGCAUAGCCGACCUGAGAGGGUGAUCGGCCACACUGGAACUGAGACACGGUCCAGACUCCUACGGGAGGCAGCAGUAGGGAAUCUUCCGCAAUGGGCGAAAGCCUGACGGAGCAACGCCGCGUGAGUGAUGAAGGUCUUCGGAUCGUAAAACUCUGUUAUUAGGGAAGAACAUAUGUGUAAGUAACUGUGCACAUCUUGACGGUACCUAAUCAGAAAGCCACGGCUAACUACGUG
rnacentral:rRNA from 1 species